GCGGUUGGCUCCAGGCCAGCGCUGGCGGUUGAGUGAUGUAAUCACGCUGGGUCUGUAGUCUCCGCGGCUGUAGGUUUCGUGGUUGUGCUGAUGACAGGCAGUUCCUGAACUCUAGGCUGGGAAUUGUGCCUUGCUGCUGCUUUCGUGGGCCACGGGCCGUCCAGAAAGGAGGAGAAGUUUGCGAAGUUUUUGUAUCAGGAUCCAAGGUCGCCUUGUGCCCCAAAAAGGGUUGAAAAAGUCCUAACUGGAGAAGCACGUGCCUUACGGUGCCUACGUAUUUAUGGUUGGAGCACAAUAGAGAGCAGCGGCAUGAUCUCAGCUCACUGCAACCUCCAUCUCCCAGAUUCAAGCAGUUCUCCCAUCUCAGCCUCCCAAGAAGCUGGGACUACAGGUGCACACUUCCACACCCAGCUAAUUUUUGUAUUUUUAGUAGAGACUGGGGAUGGGGGUCGGGGGGCACCUCACCAUUUUGCCCAAGCUGGUCUUGAACCCCUGACCUCAGGUGAUCCACCCACCUAGGCCUCCCAAAGUGCUGUGAUUACAGGCGUGAGCCACCACGCCUGGUCCCCUUCCCUUGAAUUUACACAUGACUGACCAACAGAAUACAGCUAAGGUGUUGCUGGGCUAAUUUCCAGGCCAAGGUCUUAAGAAGCUGAAAAUUUUAACUUUCUUUCUCUUGAGACACUCACUCCUGGAACUGGGUCCCAUGAACUAAGGGAAAGGCUAUAUGGAAAGGAACUAAGGCCUGCAGCUUGCAGCACUGACUGAGCUCCCAAUCAACAGCACCAAAUCGCCAGCCCUGUGUGUGAGCUAUCUUGGAAGAGAAUCCUCCAGCCCCAAGUUGAGCCACCCCUGCUAAUGCUAAAUGAAGAGUAGAGACAAGUAUUCAUGGCUAGGCCAUGCCCGAAUUGUUGUCUUCUCAGAAGACUUAGUGGUAGUGUCCUUCCAACACAAACUGAAACAUUUCUCUCCAAACCUGGGAACCCACCCCCACCAGGCUCUUAAAGUUCUUCAGCAAAUGUGGAACGAACAUUACUAUCACAAUGAAAACAAAACUGAUACUGCCUGGGACCUUCAGCCCAUACUGUCAUGAAUAGCUGGGGUUUUUUUUGCAUUUUCAAUUCCCCCAACUCACUUCAGUUAAUAUAAUUUCCCCUUUUCUUUGGAAAACAAACAAAUUGGUUAACUGCUACUAUUAAUACUGCUAGUCUGUUUUAGAAACAAAAUAAAAACAGAAUUUUACUGGAAGGAUGUUCAUGGCCUCCCAGAAUCAGUGGAAGUUCAGGACACCCAACUUAGCAAAAACACAAAAAUCAAGGCGACGUAAUACUAGGCAUCAGGAAUUAUAGCAAUAAACUUCAAGAACAUUUUUCAAAAAACUACUCUACUGCCACGGCUGUGACAUCUUUGCUUCAAGUUUUUCCUAGGCUCUAUUCCAAAAAUUAAUACUACCAUCUAGUGGACCCUUCAUAUACCUAUGUCUGUUUGUAGAUUUCUUCUCUGGUUUUCCAGUCAGUUCACUAAUAUCUGACUUGUCUUUGAUAUAUUCCUCAGAAUUUUUAAAUUGUUUAUUUUUGAGGUGGGAAUCAGGUUUAUUGAGGUAUAAUUUAUAUCCAGCAAAGUUGGCCCUUUUCAGUGUAUGGUUCUAUGAGGUUUUUUUGAUUUGUUUUGUUUUUGAGAUAGAGUCUCGAUCUGUUGCCCAGGCUGGAGUGCAGUGGCGCAAUCUGGGCUCACUGCAAUCUUCGCCUCCUGGGUUCAGGUGAAUCUCCUGGCUCAGCCUCCUGAGUAGCUGGGAUUACAGGUACCUGCCACCACAUUUUGUAUUUUUGGUAGAGACUGGGUUUCACCACGUUAGCCAAGCUGGUCUCCAAAUCCUGACCUCAGGUAAUCCACUUGCUUUGGCCUCCCAAAGUGCUGGAAUUACAGGCGUGAGCCACCGUGCCUGGCCUUUUGUUUUCUUCUGAGACAAGAGUCUUGCUCUGUUGCCCAGGCUGGAGUACAGUGCUGUGAUCUUCGCUCACUGCAACUUCCAUCUCCCAGGUUCAAGCAAUUCUCAUGCCUCAGCUUCCUGAGUAGCUGGGCCACCACACCAAGCUAAUUUCUGUAUAUUUAGUGGAGAUGGGGUUUUGCCAUGUUGGCCAGGCUGAUCUCAAGUGAUUUGCCUGCUUUGGCCUCCCAAACUGCUGGGAUUACAGACGUAAGCAACCAUGCCCGGCCCUAUGAGGUUUUUGGAUUUGUUUUGUUUUUUAAAUUUCCAUAGGUUUAGGCUAGGCAUGGUGGCUCAUGCCUGUAAUCCCAGCACUUUGGGAGGCCAAGGCAGGUGGAUCAUGAGGUCAGGAGUUCAAGAACAGCCUGGCCAACAUAGUGAAACCCCAUAUGUACUAAAAAUAAAAAAAAUAAAAAAAUUAGCUGGGCAUGGUGGUGGGUGCCUGUAGUCCCAGCUACUUAGGAGGUUGAGGCAGGAGAAUUGCUUGAACCAGGGAGGCAGAGGUUGCUGUGAGCUAAGAUCACACCACUGCACUCCAGCCUGGACUCUGUCUCAAGAAAAAACAAACAAACAUACAUUAGCUGAACAUAGUGGCGCACACCUAUAAUCCCAGGUACUCCAGAGGCUGAGGUGAGAAGAUUGCUUGAACCUGGGAGAUGGAGGUUACAGUGAACCAAGAUCAUGCCACUAUACUCCAGCCUGGGCUACAGGGAGAGACUCAGUCUCAAAAAAAUAUUUUUUUUUUCCUAGGCUUUUGGGGGAAUGAGUGGUGUUUGGUUACAUGAAUAAGUUCAUUAGUGGUGAUUUCUGAGAUUUUGGUGUACGCAUCACCCCGGUUCUAUGAGUUUUAACAAACACAUAGUCAUAAAACCACCACCACAAUCAAGAUAUGGGAUAGGUCUGUCAGCUCCAAAGACUACAUACCUUUGUCCCCAUCUGAAGUCAACUUCCCCAACCUCUGAUAACCACUGAUCUAUUUUUUUCUCCCUAUAGCUUUGCCUUUUCCAAAAUGUCAUGUAAAUGGAAUCAUACAAAAUGUAGCCUUUGAGUGUGUCUUCUUUUAGUCAUGAUGCACUGAGAUUCAUUGAUGUUGUUGUCUCGCAUCCCCUGCCUCCUUUUUUCUCCCCAGUAAUACUCCAUAAUACUCCAUUGUAUGGAUGUACCGGAUCUACUGACCAGUUGAAGAACAUUUGGAUUGUUUCCCAUUUUUUGUGGUUAUGAAUAAUGUCACUAUAAACAUUUGGAUACAGGUUUUGUGUAAAUCUAUCUUUUCAUCUCUCUUGGGUAAACACCUAGGAAUAGGAUUGUUAGGUCUUAUUGAUAUCUCUCGGUUAGGGGAGGUCCCCAAAUGCUGGUGGGGGCUCUUGACAUCUUCCCAAGAAGGAAUUCAAGGAUUAGUUGGGGAAUAAUAAAAGUGAAACCAUAACUGCAAGAUUAUUACUGAGACAGUAAAAGGGAUCUGACCUGACCAACUCCAUCUUGCCUCAGAUCUCCAAGCUGUCCUAGUUCAUUCCUGGGCAUUGGCCAAACUAGGUUUGGGAGGAACUUAGUUUAUAGUUUGAAGCAGAAAUGGUAACAGCCCUUUCCCAAAAAAAAAUCCUCUUCUUGCCUGGGGAGUAGACUGCCUUUGUAGGCCUAACAGAUUAGUCAAAAGAUUAUAAAUUAUGGUUUAGGAGUCAUGCAGCUGGAGGAUACAAGAUUCUGACCCUCCCCAAACUGGUCCUGGGGAUAAAAAUCACUAUUAUAGUCUAGGUGUGGUGGCUCACACCUGUAAUCGUAGCACUUUGGGAGGCCGAGGCAGGCCGAUCACCGGAGGUUUGGAGUUGGAGACCAGCCUGACCAACAUGGAAAAACCCCGUCUCCACUACAAAUACAAAAAAAUAGCUGGGUGUGGUGGCGCAUGCCUGUAAUUCCAGCUACCCAGGAGGCUGAAGCAGGAGAAUCGCUUGAACCUGGGAAGCAGAGGUUGCUGUGAGCCAGGAUCACGACAUUGCAUUCCAGCCUGGGCAACAAGAGCAAAACUCCAUCAUAAAUAAAUAAAUUAAUUAAUUAAACCUAAGGCCAGCACUUGAGAUAUUUUGAAGACCCUGUCCUUGAUGGAUCAGCUUCAGCUGGCACCACCCAGACUGAUAAACUGCCUCAUCUGAUCUUGUGCCCCCCAUCCAGGAACUGACUCAGUGCAAGAAGACAGGUUGGACUCCUUACGAUUUCAUCUCUGACCUGACCAAUCAGCACUCGAGGCUCACUGGCUCCCCCCCACCCACUAAUUUGUCCUUGAAAACGCUGAUCCCUUAUUCCACCUGAUUUUGGUGAGAAAAAAAAACAACAAAAAAACCCAAACUCUGAUCCCUGAAUGCUUAGGGAUACUGAUUUGACUAAUAAAACUCUGGUCUCCCACA